UGGGAAGUACCACUGAGGGGCGGAGGUGAGACCAUCCCACUCAGGGAGGUACCACUGGGGGUAGGAGGGAUAAUCCAUUCUGAAUAAUGGAAUAAUCCGUUCUGGAAUAAUCCAUUAUGUGACAACACGAGGGUACCCUUUCGCCGCGUAGGGCAUCAACCGCAUUUCCCGGAGAGGCAAGCAUGGCGCCGCUGGGUACAACCCCAUUCCUUCCGCGCUCUCUUCCUGUGGCAUUCGAGCACGAGUGGACAGCGAGUCUCAGGAUUCAACCAUCUUUGUAUCGACUCCAAAUCCACCCCUUCGUUUCCAUAUGGUCACAGCCAACUGGGGAUCGCAACGGGGCUAGAGAUUGGCUCCCGGGAAUGGGAGACAGGGUCAGAAAGUAUUCUGGGCGGUGAUUGGCCACGGAGAGAUUGCUCUUCCGGGGUCCAAACCGCUCCGUAAGUCCGCUACUCCCACCCUUCCUAGUGGUCGGCUCGGUUCCGAUUGGCAGCCUGUCUGGGACUGGCACGGUGAUCACAGAGUUGGAGGGCGGGGUGAGAGGUGUACGUCUGCGUUUGCGUCUCCGCCCUUUUGCGGGCUUGCGUGCGGGUACGGGGGCGGGGACUGUCACGGUGCUUUUUCUCCGAGUUGUUCAACGCUGCUGACUGCCCAGAAGUGGCUUCGUAGCUGCUCCGGUCAGUGGCGAGGUUAGGUUCAGUCGCUGGUUGUGCGGCGUGACCGUGCUGUCUUCACGUUGAGCUCUUUCCGUCUUGUUUAGCCUUCAGUCUGGAGCUUGUGGUUCCACACCGUCAGUCGCACCGAUUCGUGUAAAGUGCAGAGAGAGGUCUCUGGGAUUGUUUGAUAGAGAGGUAACGUGGGUCAUGCAGUUUGGAGAUGCGUAUCGUUACGUCUGACAUUACAGAUGCUGUUUGGGUACAGCUGCUAUCUCUGAGGGUUUGCGGGAGUUUUUGAUGAGAGAGGUAUUUUAUGAGUGGGUUUUGCGAGCCAUAGUACAAAGAGCCUUAGCCUUGAUGUGCUUAUAUACCUGGGCGUGUGUCUUUUCUAAGCUUUUGGGUCGCUGGGUGUUAACGGUGUAUAAUCUGUGGAACCAUAUGUGUAAAGGACUGCUUCCCAGCCAUCCUUCAACAAGUGUUUUCUGAGCACCUAUCACGUACCUGAGUGCAUCUGGGAGUUUCUGACAGGACAAAACUGACAAAGUUUCUCCUUUCCUAAGGUGCUCCGUAAACACAUAGAGCAAGCACAUCAAAGGUGGCAGGUGCAAUGUAAACGGAAAAGGCUGGAUCAGGGGAAGGGGCAUGAGGUGAGGAUGUUUCUGUUUUACUCGGGGUAACAAAGGCAAAAUGAUUACCACAAUAAGGUUAGUUAGCACUGUAUCCGCUCACAUCAUUAUGUUUUUAAAAAGUUUUUUGGUGAUAACAUUUCAGUUCUUCUCUCAUUCUUUUCUAUUCCUUUCUUUUAUUUCUUGCUCUGUUUCUUUGUGUUUUAGUUCAUUUAUUUGUUUGUUUUGUUUUGUUUUGGGCUGCUCCUGAAGCAAGCGGACGUUCCUGGGCCAGGGCUCGACCCCACUCCACAGCAGCCACCCGAGCCAUGGCAGUGAAAACACUGGAUCCUUAACUCACUGUGCCACUUAAUUUUCAGUACAUAAUACAAUAUUAAGUAUCGUCACCAUGCUCUACGUUAGAUCCCCAUAACUUAUUCAUCUUAUAGCUAGAAGUUUGUACCCUUUGACCACCAUUUCCCCCAGCCCCUCGCAAGCACCCUUCCAAACUCUACUUCUGGUAGAGCUUCCAUGCCUGCCUGCUUACAUCUCUCAUAAGCGUCCUAUCUUAAUAAAUCUAUUUCUUGCCUAUCAAAGAUAAAUAAAUAAACUCUAUUUCUGUAACCUAGACGUUUUCAGAUUUCACAUGUAAGAGAGAACAUGCAUUAUUUGUCUUUCUCUCUGACUUAUUUCACUCACAUAUAUAUGCAUAUAUAUAACGUAGCAGGCUGGAGCCGAUAAUCCUUAGAAACUGUAGCUUGUUGACCUUACCUUGCAUCCGGGAACUUGGAUUUCAGGUGGUUUCCCACCGUUCCCUCCCCGAGAAGGGUAGGUUCCUCUUCCGAAACUGUCCAAACAAUAUGUUCGAUGCUAAACGCCUGCUUGCCUCCCGGGACCCUGGAAUCCUGGUACGUGCUGGGCAGAGAGUGUGCGAGGGACCAGUCCCCAGUUAAAAGCUUGGGCCCUGGGUUUCUCAUGAGCUUCUCUGGCAGACAGUGUUUGAAGGAGCUGUCAUGGCUCGUUGCUGGAGGGACAGAUUGUGUGACUCUAGGGAGAAAGGACUCUCGAAAGCGUACGCUGGUUUCCUCUGGAUGAUGCCCAGUGCACCACUCCCCCUGGCUGUUUGUCUUUCUAUCCUUUUGCAGUACUGAUUCCUAGCCAUGGGGAUGACUGUAUGCUGGGUCCUGUGAGCCCUCCUAGGGAUUCACCAAAAGCAAGAGUGGUUUUGGACGUCUGAAACAGUGGGGGCAGCCAUGAGAUUCACCAGUGAGCUCCUGCCUCAUUGAUAUGCAGUGAAAGCCUCGUUUGAAGGGUGGACGAAGCGGUAGGAUGAUGAUCCUUUCAUGCUCGGUGACUAUGGAUGUACCCAUGCUAUAGAGCAGCACUGAGCCACUGACGGGUGUGAGAGGUAACCGUUCCUUACUAAGUUAAAAGGAAAAGAUCCAGAAGUUCCCUGGUUGCUCAGCGGGUUAAGGCUCUGGUGGUGUCACUGCUGUGCCUCUGGAUACAGCUGCGGCAAGGGUUUAAUCCCUGCCUGGGAGAUUCCAUGUGCAAUGCGUGUGGCCAAAAAGAGGACCAAGAAAUCCCGCAUCAGAGGGUUAGCUCACUGCAUCCCUGGGCUGCUUUGCUGAGCUGCCUGAUGUGAGGGGGUACCUGUCAUGAGCACCGGACUUUGGUGUUUGUUAUUUCCUCUAGGCCCAGGCGGGGGGGGGGGGGGUGUGUGUCCAGGCCUUGGAAAGGUGACCUUCGUGUCAGCCAAAAAUGUUAAAAGUUUGACUUGCUCUCUCCUACAACUGGGAGGACACAAAUCUGUUUCUGGGACGGAGAAAGCUUCAGAUAAACCCGAGCGAGGCAAGAAGGGAAAAAAGCUCUCCAGCCUUUUUUUCAACGUGGCUGCUUCUGUGGCAGCUUCUCCCAGCAUUCCCACCAGAUCUGCCUUGGCCAGGUUCAUUCAACAGCCCAUCCACUGGCUACAUGCUUGCAACACCCACGCUGAGCACUGGCCGCUUGAUGCUUAGGAAACAUUCAGUACAGUUGCUCCAAGCAUCGUGACCCAGGUUCAACUGUGAGGGCAGAACUGCGGGCAGUGGAGGUACCAGAGUGACACACACGUGUGUAGUAGGCAUUGUGGCCGCGUGUAUUAGGAGUUUCCGGAAAGAGGCGGGUAUGACAGAUGCAGUCCUCCUCCCCUCACAGGGAAGAGACUGACUCCACAGAUGUCCUCGUUACCCCAUUCUCCUGGGUCAUUUUUACGCAGAAAUAACUGGCUCAAGAAGAGCCGCCUUUUAUUAACAAUAGACCUGGAGUCAGGGUCCUUUGUUCAUUGAGGAAACAGUCUCAGCACCGCCAAGACACUACAUCUCAGCCUCCUGGGCCUAGUUUGGGGAUGUAGGGAUGAUGUGGGCUGGAACCUGCAAGCAGAUGACAGCCACCUGUUGUGUGAGUGAUGGCGGGAUUUAAGUCCUAGAAACCUAGGAACACAGAGGAGGGCACUGACCCCUGCCAAAGUAUCAGGGGGAGGGGUUGUGGGUGUUUGGUCAAGACACACUUCUCAAGGGUGGGGAGGUUCCUGAGGGAGGCACCGUGAUCUUCCAGUUUACAGACACACAGGCUGAAGGGCACCGACAGCAAAACCAGUGCAGCCAUUUUCCAUUCUCAGUCUUUGGGCUCCAGACCACCAUGGCGGCUGGGUCACCUCCCGAGAGGCCAUGCAGCCACUGAAAGCACCUCCUCUGCCUCUGCUCGCCUCUCAAUUCCUAGUAUCUGCUAAACAGAGGGAGACGGGUCGAGUCCUAACUGGGCCGUAACCGGGCCUGGGGGGUGAUGGCAAAGCCUCUCUGGCAUGGUGCAGUGCCUCCCUGCAGGGAAAGUCAACGUCCUGCCUGCCUGUUGGCUCUGAGGCAGGCCCUUCCCACCAGUGGACUCCAGGUCUCUGGGCUUCAGAGCAGCUCCCCUGAAGGCGACACAGAGAGGGUCUGAGAGCCAUUCACGGUGCCUUUGCCCUGCUGGGUGCCUGGACGUCACCGGUGGACACGGUACUGGGACAACAGUGACUGUCCCAUCAUGGAACAGUAUCUGCAUCUCAGCAACAAAAACCCAAACCAAGUUUGUUGUGAAGUGACGGCAAAGAAGACUGGCUCAGGAGUCUGACAGACCCGGGGCGUGACUCCCAGAUCCACCCUCCACUGCAUCAGCGACUUAACCUCUUUGAGCUUAUUUCCUUGUCUGUGGAAGGCGGUGGGUUGAUACUUACCUCUCUGGCCCUUGGGGAAAUAAAACCGUGUCUGCCCUGCUCACAUGAGCUCAAGAGCCAGGCUUGAGGAAGAGCCGUUUACACUGCACCCCUGUUAGGGACACAUCAGUGUGGAGGGAUCCAGGCCACGGCCCCAGGAGUCUACUCCACCCUCUGACUGGGGUGGCUGUGGGGUAGGGGGGUGGUGCCAUUUCCAUCUUUUUCUUUGACCUUACGUAUCAGAGACACACGCUUCAUUUCAUACUUAGGUGUGUUCUGCUUAGAGGAGUUGUAGUGAAUGAAGGGGAUCCUCACAGCUGAGUGUGUAGCUGGUAGAACCUACACACUCUCUCUCCCGGACCUUCUAGGAACUGGAUCGUCUGGGUGCCUCCAGGGGUUGACAGCACCCUGUGCAGACACCUGAGGAGCUGCAGGAAGGCACUGGCACAUGACCUUGGAGGGUCCCCCCAUCCUGAGCAGGCAGCUGAUCCCUGCCACCCUCAGGGCCCCAAGAACUAGAAAAUCAGCUCCACUGCAAAGAGAGGAAAGUUACUGUACUUUCUGUUGUCCUAACAGAGAACUCCGACUAUAAAAUCGAGUGGGAAAUAGUGAACGUGUCAUCAAAACAAAGUCCAUGGGCAGAGCAGAUCGGGCCUGUUCCAUUUACUGGGUCACAGACACCAUAAAGUGACAGGUAUCUCCCAUGUUCUGGGUUAUCCCUCCUCACUGUCAGGCAGGUGAUCACCCUGGAUCCAUUGAUAGUUCCAAAAUUGUGAUCUGAUUCCAAAGUCCAUGUUCAAAGGCAAAAGUGGGCCCAAAUACAAUAAGCAGAGAGACCUUUGCCAUCUGUCCCCUGUGCUUAUUAGCAAGGAAGCUUUUCCCAAAAAAGGCAGGCAUCAGAUUGCAUUUCAGCUCAGCUCACUGUGAACCACAGUAAACCUUGUUUUGAUUUGGGGAAUUCAACAAGAAAUCCCCACCACAUCCCAUUCUAUAAAAGUAGGAGUUAACUGACUUCUCAUCCAGGUGCGGCCCAGGUAAAAUGGAAAUUGCACCACCCAACGUGACACCGAACCGAAGAAGGAAACCAGCAGAUGAGGAUGGCGGGAACAGCACCUGUGAGGAUGUGCAGUCUGGGAGUGGUCAGCAGGAACGAUUGUGAGCACACUGGCCAUGUGAGGUACAGAAAGGGUUUGGGGUGGUUGGAAUGUCAAGUGGGGGGAAUGGAGCAGGAGGGGUCCGGUGAGGAUCAGGCACUCAGGGGCACGCGACUCCUGAUGUGCCUAGUCCAGGAGGCCGGACACUAUCCCUAGAGCAGCGGACAGCCCCCACAGAGGUUUGAACAGGUGUGGCGUUCCUAGAUUAGGACUUCAGAAAGGUUCCUCGGGCAGUGGAAUGGAAAAAGGGUGGCAAAGGAUCAGGAUUGGUGGUGGUCGUGCAGGGUAGAGCUGAGGGUGACCUGGACUAGGGAUCUCACUGUGGUGAUGGAGAGAAGUGGCAAGAUCUUGCCUAGACUUAGGAGCAGAAAGGCGGGGCUUGGUGCCCGAGGGGAUGGUGAGACAGAGGCGGCAGGCACAGAUGACUGUAAGGAUCUCUGGCCAAAGCAGCCGGGGAGAAGGCUGCCUUGCACUGAGUCAGGCAAACACUAGAGGAGGUGCAGAUGUGUGUAGGGACUCGGGGUGGAUGGCUUAGUUUGGACGGGCUGAAUGUUCCUUGCCUUUGGGAUUCAAACAAGUAUGACCUGAAUGACGUGGGGGAGCUGACCUAACCUCUCUGUGCCCAAGACACCUCAUCAGUGAGAGGAGAAUGAGUCUGAUGAUGAAGAAAACUGCUUUCUGUGUCAUUAAUUUAGUCUAGGGGAAUUUUCUUUUACACCACAAAGUACCGUUUGACUGUCAGUUACCCCCUAGGUACAAUGGCAACGUCUCUACCUGUACGCAUGUCUGCUGGGCUUUACAUAUCUGCUUUGUGUCUCCUCUCCGUGUGGCCACUGUGCAUCAUGUAUUGCCAACUGUAAAACAAAUAAAUAAAUAAAUUUAAAAUAACAAGUGUUUAUUGCCACAUGCAUGUAGUGUGCCAAUCCAUCAGCCUGUCUCCCGAAGAAAGAGCUCCCUCAGACCCUCCAGUCUUCCCCCUGUAGCCCCUCACUCCUGUCAGAUGACCAGGGAGGUCUGUAAUCUGCAGGAGGGGAUUAAAGGGAUUAAAGUGGAUCUGGAAACCAUCAGUGUGUGGCGGCAUAGCAGGGAGAUGAGGAAGCCACUGACAAUCCAGAUUUGAAACAAGGACCACGAAAAUAAAACCUUUUGAU
rnacentral:lncRNA from 1 species